rnacentral:rRNA from 1 species
UACGUAGGGCGCAAGCGUUGUCCGGAAUUAUUGGGCGUAAAGAGCUCGUAGGCGGUUUGUCGCGUCUGUCGUGAAAGCUUGGGGCUUAACCCCAAGUCUGCGGUGGAUACGGGCAGACUAGAGGCAGGUAGGGGAGAACGGAAUUCCCGGUGUAGCGGUGAAAUGCGCAGAUAUCGGGAGGAACACCCGUAGCGAAGGCGGCACUCUGGGCCGGUACUGACGCUGAGGAGCGAAAGCGUGGGGAGCAAACAGG